GUGGCGGACGGGUGAGUAAUGCUUGGGAACUCGCCUUUGCGAGGGGGAUAACAGUUGGAAACGACUGCUAAUACCGCAUAAUGUCUUCGGACCAAACGGGGCUUCGGCUCCGGCGCAAAGAGAGGCCCAAGUGAGAUUAGCUAGUUGGUAAGGUAAAGGCUUACCAAGGCGACGAUCUCUAGCUGUUCUGAGAGGAAGAUCAGCCACACUGGGACUGAGACACGGCCCAGACUCCUACGGGAGGCAGCAGUGGGGAAUAUUGCACAAUGGGGGAAACCCUGAUGCAGCCAUGCCGCGUGUGUGAAGAAGGCCUUCGGGUUGUAAAGCACUUUCAGUUGUGAGGAAAAGUUAGUAGUUAAUACCUGCUAGCCGUGACGUUAACAACAGAAGAAGCACCGGCUAACUCCGUGCCAGCAGCCGCGGUAAUACGGAGGGUGCGAGCGUUAAUCGGAAUUACUGGGCGUAAAGCGCACGCAGGCGGUUUGUUAAGCUAGAUGUGAAAGCCCCGGGCUCAACCUGGGAUGGUCAUUUAGAACUGGCAGACUAGAGUCUUGGAGAGGGGAGUGGAAUUCCAGGUGUAGCGGUGAAAUGCGUAGAUAUCUGGAGGAACAUCAGUGGCGAAGGCGACUCCCUGGCCAAAGACUGACGCUCAUGUGCGAAAGUGUGGGGUAGCGAACAGGAUUAGAUACCCUGGUAGUCCACACCGUAAACGCUGUCUACUAGCUGUGUGUGUCUUUAAGACGUGCGUAGCGAAGCUAACGCGCUAAGUACACCGCCUGGGGAGUACGGCCGCAAGGUUAAAGACUCAAA
rnacentral:rRNA from 1 species